UGAAAAUUUUAGAAGGGGGUAAGGUGUAUAUUAAUUGGCGUUUUAUGGGCAAGCAAGAAGGUGAAAGUACUAACCACUUGUUGCUACAGACUAGUGUGACCAGAGAGCUUUGAGAGCUGCUACUAUGUGGGGUGUUCAAUAGGUCAUGCCGUACUUGGUGAAAGAAGUUUAGGGUUUAGCAAAGGACUUACUUAGGUGAGAAAUAAGAGAACCUCUUGAAAUGGAAACUUUGGGAGUGCUUAACAAAGUGCUGUUGUAAUCUAGUACUUUAAUGUGAGUAUGUAAAAGAGUUUAAGCAAACUCACAGGAGGGAUGAUGAUAUUGCCAUUGUAAAUGCUGGAAUGCGUGUUUUUCUUGAGAAAAAAGAUGAUGAUCUGGUUGUUGCAGAUGCAUCAAUCGUUUAUGGUGGAGUGGCUCCUUUAUCUAUUGCUGCAAGGCAAACCAAAGAGUACUUGAUUGGAAAGACUUGGAAUCAGGAGCUUUUGCAAGGAGCUCAGGAAGUUUCGAGGAGUGACAUAAUCAUCAAGGAAGAUGGUCCAGGUGGGAUGGUUGAGUUUCGAAAGUCUCUGACACUUAGUUUCUUUUUUAAGUUUUUCUACUGGGUUUCUCAGGAGAUGGAUGAGAUGAGAUCCAUCAGGGAAGAGAUACCAUUGUCACAUAUAUCUGCCAUAAAACCAUUUGAAAGACCAUCUGCUGUUGGAAGUCAGGAUUGCGAAAUUGUGAAGCAGGGGACUUUCGUGGGAUCCCCUGAGAUCCACCUUUCCUCAAGGCUACAGGUCACAGUUGAGGCGGAAUAUGCUGAUGACACACCCUUGCCACCUGACGGUCUGAAUGCCGUGUAAGUGCUAAGCAAAAAACCCCAUGCCUGUAUAAUUUCGGUAGAUGCUUGGGGAGCGAAAUCUUCCCCUGGAUUUGCCGGCAUAUUUCUUGCAAAAGACAUCUCAGGAAAAAACGAGAUGGGGGUUGUUAUAUCAGAUGAGGAGGUUAUUGGGGUAGUUAUUGCCGAUACAUGAGAAUGCGAAACUAGCCGCGAGAAAGGUUCAUGUGGAGAAUGAAGAACUUCUGGCUCUCUUUUCAAUAGAAGAUGCCAUCAAAGCUAAAAGCUUUCAUCCCAACACAGAGAGGUCUUUGCGAAAAGGUGACGUGGAUCUCUGCUUUCGAUCGGGCAAAUGUUACGAAGUCAUACAGGGGGAGGUUCAAGUGGCAGGUCAGGAACAUUUUUACUUGGAGACACAUUGCACCCUCAUAUGGACAAUGGAUGGCGGAAAUGAAGUCCACAUGCUUUCCUCCACUCAAGUGAGUGAGGCCUUUGACCAACAUUCUUUUUGCUCUCCUUUAUGUUGAAAUGGGUUGCUGUGGGAUUGGAUUUAGCCAUUCCUUAGUGUGGCUGUUUAUAUGAUGAGUGUUUUGGACAGAAUUGUUGCUUUGGACUCAGUUGCUAAGUUUGAUUAUGAGAGAUUUAUAUGCAUUUUUUAGUUACCCUUGUUCUUUUAUAAGCGGAAAAUGGAUUCCAGGAUCAUCAGAAGACUGUUUGUUGCUCACGUGCUCGGUCUGCCACUCUCAAAAGUCGUUUGUAAAACCAAGAGAAUUGGUGGUGGGUUUGGAGGAAAAGAAGCAAGGUCAGCGUUCCUUGCUGCUGUAGCUUCCGUCCCAUCAUAU